rnacentral:rRNA from 1 species
AGUGAACGCUGGCGGUAGGCCUAACACAUGCAAGUCGAACGGCAGCACAGUAAGAGCUUGCUCUUACGGGUGGCGAGUGGCGGACGGGUGAGGAAUACAUCGGAAUCUACUUUUUCGUGGGGGAUAACGUAGGGAAACUUACGCUAAUACCGCAUACGACCUACGGGUGAAAGCAGGGGAUCUUCGGACCUUGCGCGAUUGAAUGAGCCGAUGUCGGAUUAGCUAGUUGGCGGGGUAAAGGCCCACCAAGGCGACGAUCCGUAGCUGGUCUGAGAGGAUGAUCGGCCACACGGGAACUGGGCCACGGUCCAGACGCCUACGGGAGGCAGCAGUGGGGAAUAUGGGACAAUGGGCGCAAGCCUUAUCCAGCCAUACCGCGUGGGUGAAGAAGGCCUUCGGUUUGUAAAGCCCUUUUGUUGGGAAAGAAAAGCAGCAGGUUAAUACCCCGCUGUUCUGACGGUACCCAAAGAAUAAGCACCGGCUAACUUCGUG